CCUACGGGUGGCAGCAGUAGGGAAUAUUGCACAAUGGGCGAAAGCCUGAUGCAGCAACGCCGCGUGCGCGAUGAAGGCCUUCGGGUCGUAAAGCGCUUUUCGGGGAGAUGAGGAAGGACAGUAUCCCCGGAAUAAGGCUCGGCUAACUACGUGCCAGCAGCCGCGGUAACACGUAGGAGCCAAGCGUUAUCCGAAUUCACUGGGCGUAAAGCGCGUGCAGGCGGAUCAACAAGUUGGAUGUGAAAUCUCCUGGCUCAACUGGGAGAGGACGUUCAAUACUGUUGGACUAGAGGGCGACAGAGGGAGGUGGAAUUCCCGGUGUAGUGGUGAAAUGCGUAGAUAUCGGGAGGAACACCAGUGGCGAAGGCGACCUCCUGGGUCGCACCUGACGCUCAGACGCGAAAGCUAGGGGAGCGAACGGGAUUAGAUACCCGGGUAGUC
rnacentral:rRNA from 1 species